CAGUCGCCGCGGUAAUACGAAGGGGGCUAGCGUUGCUCGGAAUCACUGGGCGUAAAGGGCGCGUAGGCGGCGUUUUAAGUCGGGGGUGAAAGCCUGUGGCUCAACCACAGAAUGGCCUUCGAUACUGGGACGCUUGAGUAUGGUAGAGGUUGGUGGAACUGCGAGUGUAGAGGUGAAAUUCGUAGAUAUUCGCAAGAACACCGGUGGCGAAGGCGGCCAACUGGACCAUUACUGACGCUGAGGCGCGAAAGCGUGGGGAGCAAACAGGAUUAGAUACCCCCGUAGUCCCUGUCUCUUAUAC
rnacentral:rRNA from 1 species